GAUGAACGCUGGCGGCGUGCCUAAUACAUGCAAGUCGAGCGAACGGACGAGAAGCUUGCUUCUCUGAUGUUAGCGGCGGACGGGUGAGUCACACGUGGAUAACCUACCUAUAAGACUGGGAUAACUUCGGGAAACCGGAGCUACUACCGGAUAAUAUUUUGAACCGCAUGGUUCAAAAGUGAAAGACGGUCUUGCUGUCACUUAUAGAUGGAUCCGCGCUGCAUUAGCUAGUUGGUAAGGUAACGGCUUACCAAGGCAACGAUGCAUAGCCGACCUGAGAGGGUGAUCGGCCACACUGGAACUGAGACACGGUCCAGACUCCGACGGGAGGCAGCAGUAGGGAAUCUUCCGCAAUGGGCGAAAGCCUGACGGAGCAACGCCGCGUGAGUGAUGAAGGUCUUCGGAUCGUAAAACUCUGUUAUUAGGGAAGAACAUAUGUGUAAGUAACUGUGCACAUCUUGACGGUACCUAAUCAGAAAGCCACGGCUAACUACGUG
rnacentral:rRNA from 1 species